AUAUUUUCCGCUAUACAGGAAGACCUAAAGAUCGAUGGGUCGAUGAAAUAAAAAACAUAGCCGGCGAAGAUUGGAUGACGAAGGCGGCCAAUCG